rnacentral:rRNA from 1 species
GACGAACGCUGGCGGCGUGCUUAACACAUGCAAGUCGAACGGAGUGGCGAACGGGUGAGUAACACGUGGGUGAUCUGCCUUGCACUUCGGGAUAAGCUUGGGAAACUGGGUCUAAUACAGGAUCGUGCAAGAUGAGCACGGGGCCUAUCAGCUUGUUGGUGGGGUACUGGCCUACCAAGGGGUCGACGGGUAGCCGGCCUGAGAGGGUGUACGGCCACGUUAGGACUGCGAUACGGCCCAGACUCCUACGGGGGGCAGCAGUGGGGAAUAUUGCACAAUGGGCGGAAGCCUGAUGCAGCGACGCCGCGUUGGGGAUGAAGUCCUGCGGGUUGUAAACGCCUUUCGACAGGGACGCGGUACCUGUAUAAGAAGCACCGGCUAACUACGUGCCAGCAGCCGCGGUAAUAC